AGCCAGCCUACCCUGGGGUUAGCAUUUUGCUUUGACAGUGAGUACUGCUGGUAUAGGGCCAUAUGGGUCAGCUGCCUUACAGUCAGUGUAACCUCUCUGUUGAGACCAUGUAAGUCAUUUGUCUCUUUUACCCCAAAGAUGCUUAAAAUAAACAUAGAAACCCAAUUAAUUACACCUCUAAAAGUCCCCCUGCCCCCCGCCCAAAACCAAACCACUUCCUUCUGAAAAAAUACCUUCUCCUCCUCAAAAGACUUCCAUGUUCCAAAGACUGGAUUCCACUGUCCACACUGUUAAACCACUCCUCAGGGCCCUGCUGUUGGGCAGUGCACAGAGUGUGCAAGAGCUACCAGCUUUUAAACCCUGCCUUUUAAACCCAUGAGUCGAGCUGCUGAACACCUUCGGAAACUACCACCUACUCACCCAGAAGAGGGCCGUUUCAUGUCGUUAGUGACCUUCUGCAUCGGAAAUCACCAGCUAGUACUGGCGAGAGGUCGGUAAUUCCAAGAACUCAUCCAUGCAGGCAAAUAUAAGGACACACAACUUGAUACAGAGGUGGCUAGAUCAGCUCUGACAGUUCUUCAGUGGGAGACUUUUGCUUUCUGAAUCCAAGGGAUUUACUUUCUGUUUUUUUUUUUUUCCAUUUUUUUUCUUUUUAAAGACAAGGUCUCAUUUUGAUCUUGAGAAACUGUCUGAUCAAGCCACCAACUGAAAACCUGCCAUUAUAAACGAGGGAUUUCACAAUGCUCAUUCCAAAAUCUGCGGCUAUUCAUUUCUGGAAGUGACUCACUGAGGAAGAACGGCUGUUGGCGGUGGGAGGGAGGGAUCAUUUUUAGGAGACAGCCGGCACUCUGAGAACUGAGCAGAAACUCCAGAGUAGCUACCACGUGUGUGCACCGACCCCAGCCCAGCUCCCUGAGUCACCCUCCCUCCAGAUGACAUGCAAUGACCAGUCUCAUCAUGAAAGCCACUUGGUGGACAAAAAGCCCUUUGGGCUGUGCACCGCCCCUGCCCUUCGCCUGCCCCUCUGGGGACUAUUUUCACAUAAAUCAGGAGAGGCAGACACACUUGCCACCUGUCAGGACUCCGGGGCUGGUGAGUAACCAGCAUCCAGCGACCACUUCCUGCAUUAAACCUGGAAUCUCCUUGACAAUCUUCAUCGCUAUCGCCACAGCCUCUGCUGCCCUGGAGCCUUACUUGCAACAGAUACAACUGGGACUUUAUUUUGGAAGAGGCACCACAAUACAGCAUGCUGUGAAAUGGCCCUGUCUACAAAUUCCACUUUCUUCUGCUCAGGGCAGUAUCAGAUUCCACGUGAGGGGGAGUAAACCACAGGAGGCUGAUAUGUCUACUUCACCGGGAACAGCACUGCAAUGUGAACCACGGGCCGACUGAAUUGGGAUAGUGUUUAAACCUGUCACCAAGUCACAGAGAAAGACAUGUAAGAAGACACUGCAGCGAAGGGAGGUCCCAAGAUUAUCCCUUCCAAAUCCUGAACCUUUUCCAACACUGAAAAUGACACAUUAAAACUACUUAAACACAAAUACAGUGUGCUUGUAGUUUUUCUCUACGCAACUACCAGCAAAAACCAGGCAUCGUGAUGUGUGCCUUUCAAUUGCAG
rnacentral:lncRNA from 1 species